rnacentral:rRNA from 1 species
GACGAACGCUGGCGGCGUGCUUAACACAUGCAAGUCGAGCGGUAAGGCCCUUUCGGGGGUACACGAGCGGCGAACGGGUGAGUAACACGUGGGUGACCUGCCUUUAGCUUCGGGAUAAGCCUGGGAAACCGGGUCUAAUACCGGAUAUGACCUGUCCUCGCAUGGGGGUGGUGGAAAGUUUUUCGGCUAGAGAUGGGCCCGCGGCCUAUCAGCUUGUUGGUGGGGUGAUGGCCUACCAAGGCGA